ACACUGGAACAGAGAGUGGAGACAGGUGGUAGUUAUAGAACACUGGAACAGAGAGUGGAGACAGGUGGUAGUUAUAGAACACUGGAACAGAGAGUGGAGACAGGUGGUAGUUAUAGAACACUGGAACAGAGAGUGGAGACAGGUGGUAGUUAUAGAACACUGGAACAGAGAGUGGAGACAGGUGGUAGUUAUAGAACACUGGAACAGAGAGUGGAGACAGGUGGUAGUUAUAGAACACUGGAACAGAGAGUGGAGACAGGUGGUAGUUAUAGAACACUGGAACAGAGAGUGGAGACAGGUGGUAGUUAUAGAACACUGGAACAGAGAGUGGAGACAGGUGGUAGUUAUAGAACACUGGAACAGAGAGUGGAGACAGGUGGUAGUUAUAGAACACUGGAACAGAGAGUGGAGACAGGUGGUAGUUAUAGAACACUGGAACAGAGAGUGGAGACAGGUGGUAGUUAUAGAACACUGGAACAGAGAGUGGAGACAGGUGGUAGUUAUAGAACACUGGAACAGAGAGUGGAGACAGGUGGUAGUUAUAGAACACUGGAACAGAGAGUGGAGACAGGUGGUAGUUAUAGAACACUGGAACAGAGAGUGGAGACAGGUGGUAGUUAUAGAACACUGGAACAGAGAGUGGAGACAGGUGGUAGUUAUAGAACACUGGAACAGAGAGUGGAGACAGGUGGUAGUUAUAGAACACUGGAACAGAGAGUGGAGACAGGUGGUAGUUAUAGAACACUGGAACAGAGAGUGGAGACAGGUGGUAGUUAUAGAACACUGGAACAGAGAGUGGAGACAGG